rnacentral:rRNA from 1 species
GGUUAAGGCAAUAGCUCUCUGCAACUCUCACAUGGUCGCCCACUGAAGCUAAGCAGGGCUGCACCUGGUCAGUAACUGGAUGGGAGACCACAUGGGAAAGCUAGGUUGCUGCCG